GGAGGGAAUAGGAAUAGGAAUACUGGCUAGAGGAGGAGAGGAGAGGGCGAGAGGCGAGACAGGUGAGGGCGGCGGCGGCGUCAUUCAAUUCAAUUCAAUUCAAUUCAAUUGCUUCGGAUCUGAUCUCGAUUUCGCUCCCGCACCGCCGUCCGCCGGCCGUCUAUCACCCACCACGGCUGCGGCAGAGGCCAUGCCUGCGCGUGUGGCGGCGGAGAUCGCCGCGCUCCCGGAGCCGCGCGGGCCCAUGCGCCGCCUCUGCGGCGACCUCGCGCGCCGCAUCCGCCUCCUCGCGCCCCUCCUCCAGCAGCUCCAGGGCGCCUUGCCUCUCGCCGACGCACUCGGGGCAGCGCGCGACCUCCUCCGCGCAGUUCACGACGGCAGCAAGAUCUACCAGGCGAUGCGGGGGGAUGGCCUGCUCGACCGCUUCGCAAGCGUCAACAGGCAGAUUCAGCUGGCCCUGGAUGCCUUGCCUUACCACACCUUCGACAUGCCUGAAGAAGUGCAGGAGCAGGUCGCGCUUGUGCAUUCUCAGUUCAAAAGGGCUGCCACCAGAACGGAUCCACCAGACGUGCAGCUUUCAAAGGAUAUAUCCUCCGCCCUCGCUGACAAGACCUUUGACCCUCUGGUUUUCACAAGGAUCUCAGAGAAGCUGCAAUUGCAGACCAUGGCCGAUAUCAAGAAAGAAUCCGUCGCCCUGCACGAGAUGGUCAUCUCCAGUGGCGGCGAACCUGAUGGCUGCGUCGAGGAGAUGUCUUCCUUGCUCAAGAAGCUCAAAGACUGUGUCAUCACUGAAAAAGCUCCCACACCAGAGACACUCACCGCCAGGUCUGCCUCCAUAAAGCACACAUCUCCAAUCAUCCCCGAUGAAUUCAGAUGCCCGAUAUCCCUUGAGCUCAUGCAAGACCCUGUCAUCGUCUCCAGCGGACAGACAUACGAGCGAUCAUGCAUCCAGAAAUGGCUUGAUUCUGGACAUAAGACAUGCCCUAAGACGCAGCAGCCUCUCUCACAUACCUCACUGACACCAAACUUCGUCCUCAAAAGCCUAAUAGCUCAGUGGUGUGAAGCCAACGGCAUUGAGCUUCCAAAGAACAAGGCAAAUUCCAGAGAUAGGAAAUCAGCAAAAAGCUCUGACUAUGACCAUGCUGGUCUAGUCUCACUAAUGACCAGGCUGAGGGGUGGGAACCAAUAUGAGCAGCGGGCUGCUGCUGGUGAGAUCCGUUUGCUUGCAAAGAGAAAUGUCAACAACCGGAUAUGCAUUGCCGAAGCAGGAGCAAUUCCCUUGCUUGUCAAUCUACUCUCCUCUUCGGAUCCAAGAACGCAGGAACAUGCUGUCACUGCGCUCCUUAACCUCUCCAUCCAUGAGAACAACAAGGCAAGCAUUGUGGCCUCUCAUGCUAUCCCUAAGAUUGUGGAAGUGCUUAAAACUGGGAGCAUGGAAGCCAGAGAGAACGCAGCCGCUACACUAUUCAGCUUGUCAGUUGUUGAUGAAAACAAGGUUACAAUUGGUGGUGCUGGUGCAAUACCUCCACUCAUUAAUCUUCUGUGCGAUGGGAGCCCAAGAGGCAAGAAAGAUGCAGCAACAGCAAUUUUUAAUCUGUGCAUAUAUCAGGGAAAUAAGAUCCGAGUAGUCAAAGCUGGAAUUGUCAUCCAUCUGAUGAACUUCUUGGUGGAUCCUACUGGGGGAAUGACUGAUGAGGCACUCACUCUUCUGGCUAUCCUUGCUGGUAACCCUGAAGCCAGGGCUGUAAUUGCGCAGUCAGAUCCAAUCCCCCCACUUGUAGAGGUAAUUAAAACAGGGUCUCCUCGCAACAGAGAGAACGCUGCAGCCAUUCUGUGGUCGCUUUGUUGUGCUGAUGUUGAGCAAACGAGGGCUGCAAAAGCUGCUGGAGCGGAGGAUGCACUCAAGGAACUGUUGGAGUCUGGCACGGACCGUGCAAAGAGAAAAUCUUCUAGCAUUCUGGAACUCAUGCGGCAAGCUGAAGAAGCAUGAACCUGACCAUUGUAGAUUUUCUGAAUUGAGGUUCCAUGCAUGCAAAUCCAUUCCCCUUUAUGGAACAUUUCAAUACGCUUAGAACCGGGAAAUCCGGAUUGAAGCUUCAGUUGCAUAAUAAGAGAAAGGAAACAUUAAGUUUUUUGAUGGCUCUGCUCAUUGGUUGGUACUUUGGUGGCUUCAUUUGAAGUUUGUCAAAUUGGUCGAGUUAUUGUCAGGAUAGAUCUAAAGUAUGUGACAGUGGGUCCAUGACAAGGUAGACGAAACAAUUCAUACUUUCAGAGGCCACUAGGAUGCCAACAGGUGAUGCCGUCUGUUUUUCAGAGGCUGAGGUGAAGUCUUAAGAAGAAAUGACAUCAUAUUUGAUACGUGGUUCCUCCUCGUGUGCAAUGGCAAGCACAAAUAUGAAUGGGCAGACAAGGUUAUAAUGUUCCAACCCAUGUUUCUUCUCUUUGGCAACUGAAUUUUGCAUCAACUAGCUUAUGAGCCUGGACCAGACAAAAUGAGAAUGUCAAAGAAGACGCCAUGCUUGACAUAUUCAUACUCAAUGGACUUUUUGUCUGCAUAUGAUAUAGUAGCCUAAAGGAGGGGUAAUGUUGAUCUGCCGAUCUGGUGCCUUCCAAUUUAAACUUUAGAUCUCAUUACCUGCGGAUGCACUAAAAAAUGAUCGAAAUUAUUGGCAACCAAAUUAUACGGGAGUCUCAAGCCAUAUGAUUUUAGUUCUGUAACUUCCUACUUCCUGUAACCUCAAAGUAAGAAAGUCAGAUGAGUCAUUCUUCUCACUAUUAUUCUUGCCCAUAUAAUUUCACAUUGUUUGCUAACAAGCACGGAAGCAACUAAAAUGCGAAGGCUUUUUCAUAGUUUAGGCUAAGAAUUGUCACGAGCACGGGCAAAAUUAUUUUUAUCACCCGUAGCAACGCAUGGGCACGGACCUAGUAUGAUAUAAAGUAGCUAGUGAGACAGGUACAGAAGUAUAACAAUAAAAAUAAGCCUUCCCCUGCAGUAUAACAGUACACAGUAACAUGCCGCAGCCCAGGGGCACCGUUCCUCUGCAUGCAUCACAUGGCCAACCUAAGCAGCGCAAAGGACAGCGUUCCAACUAAUCAUGCUUGCUCUUAUCAUUUGCUUGCUUAAUCUGUCUCAUAUCAUCUGUCUUUGAUCCCUUUAAAUCAAUAAUCAAUAGGUGCAUCUAGCUAGUGUGAUGACACAGCUUCUAUCUAAUCCUUUUGCUUAAGCUGCUAAACAAAUAUGCAAGUUGGUUGAGGAGAUCUAAAAUGCUACUGCCCUGCAGCAGUAGUGUUCAACUUUGACCGCAACUGCAUGCACCUAAUCACGAUUCUUAUACCUGUUACAACCAGAACAUCCAUUGUGAUAUUAUUCUAUCUCCACAUGUGAUGUUUAACUAAGGCAAAUUCCAGCUUAGCUUUGACGUUGCCCACCAUGUUGCUACAAUCAUAUGAUAGAUGAUACUGAUCCAUCUCUUGGGAUCCUAUGUCUGAUAUGAUCACAAGCGUUGGUUCAUUCCCACUUGUUUGAUCUCAGCCGUUGAUUGCCUAACUAAAUCGACCUGUUUCUGCUUGUAAUAAAUCCUUAUAAACACUGCCCAUGUGCAGAGGAUGCAAUAAAAGUAAGGUGUUUGGGGUUGCAGCAACGAGUCUCAGCCCUGAGGUGGCAUUAGGAUGGGUCAUAUUGCCGAGCCUGCCGGCCCUGUAGUGAUCGGCUGCAAAGUGCUGCCGAUCUUCAAUGAGCAUGGCAUAGUUGAGGGUGCAAUGAAGAAGAUGGUGCACAGGAUCGACGGCAAGAAGGCAGUUGCACGGGUUAAGGAGCUUCUGAAGCUGGCUGCUCAGGCCAGGCCUCAUGGCGCCACUGUCAGUGGCAAGAAAUGGAAGAAGGUUCUGAGCUUCCACGCAAGGGACGGAGCUGCAGCCGGAACAGCUGCAAAGGGAGGGCGCCAGCAGAAACAGAAGCAGGAGGAGGCGAGUGACGAGAUGAGCUGCAGCUCGAGCAAGCUGAGCUUCAAGUGGGACGUGGGCAGCUGCUCAUCAGCGUCGUCGGUUGCAUAUUCACCGUUGUCGUUGAUGUCGGCGCCGGCAAAGGUGUCAGAGCAGACGCCAUCUAGGAGAGACUACUACAUGUCGAGGUUGUCGUCCAUGAGCCAGCAGAGUAUGCUGUACGGCGGUGGCGGCAGCAGCAGCCCAAAUAGCAUGAAGAACAUGGAAGGAGAGGAGGAGGGCAGCUGCAGGAUGGGGCAGUGGAUCACCACGGAUUCAGAUUUUGUGGUGUUAGAGCUGUACUGGCAUAACCUAAUUAAUGUUGAUCCAUCAAGGAAGAUGUGAGCAGAGGCGGCGAGGCAGCAACGGUUGGCGCAGCAACAGCAAGCCUCUCUCUUUCUCAGUUUCUCGUGAAGAUGGGUUGAACAGCUGCCCCAUUCAUUUCCCAUUUGGCGUCUCGUACUCGAUAGGGCCGGGAUUGGUUGACUGAGCAUGCAACAGCAUUAUUCUGAGUUCCUGACGUACGGAUACUACUGUAUAUGCUGUUGCCUUGCUCUUUUCAUGUAUGAAACCGAAAUUGGGAUGGUACGGUGGUUGGUUCUUGACACAUGACUGUUUGUUAACAGACUCAGACUGCAGCAUAUGUUACUUACCGUCGUCCCAUUUAUUGAUUCCGCUUCUUUGAAACAA